GACAACGCGAUGAUAGGGACAGUACAUUUUUUAGCUGUUUAAGCGAGUCGGGGAAUGGUGAAAGCCCGGCAGAGGCGAAAAAUGGAAGAUCACCCUGGAGCGCUCUUUUCGAACGGGAUCCUACUAGAGAAGAGCGGGUCAUUCACGAUACGAAUGCUUAAGUGAACAUGGCGUUGCUAUGUUAAUCAGGGUGGUACCGCGGGAAAACCUUCUCGUCCCUUUU
rnacentral:ncRNA from 1 species